AACCCGGAUAGUUGCCUCGGACGGAUACAUGCCCCGGUGUUUAAUAAACUAUAUUACGAUUAUAAUUUGUGUUAGCGCUUUACUACAAUAAGUUGUGACCACCCCGAAGGCCUAAAUGCCGCAUAAGCCAUCGGAAUAGGCGCACUUGUUUUGUCUGUGUGAGCAAAAAUCUUCCGCGGCGAAACUUUGACGGGCGUUAUAAUUAUAUUGGUAAGUAAUUUCUAUUGAAUAUUUUUAUUACUGAUCGUGGUUUCAGUCAACUUAUUGCUUUUUUGCAUGCAUUAGAGUUUAAAUUCCAUUGUUUAUUAUGUUUUAUUCCUGAAUAAUUUUUAUUUAUUUCGCAAAUAAAAAGGGCAAGUAUCCGCAUCAAAAAGGAUAGUCGCCCUACUUACUGUCGCGGAUAGUUGCCCCUAGAGUGACAAAAAAUUUCUUAACAAGCAAAGACGGAUUUUAUUUUUUUGCUGUUUUUUAAAUUUACUUUGUCUCUAACUUGUUGUAAAUUAAAUAAAUAUCUACACCAUAGUUUUAUAUAUUUAUUCUAGAUAAGCAAAAUGCCUCGCAAAUAUAAGCGAAAAUCAGGCGUGGUGCCACGCAACAUCAACUGGACAGAAGAGAGCUUAGCACUUGCCUUCGAAGAAUUGAGACAAAAAAAAGGUAUCAAUGAAAUUUCUCGAACAUACGGAAUAUCCGCUCGAACCUUAAGAAGACGCUAUGAAAAGAGUAACCAGCAACUGCUAACUCAAGGAAAAUAUCCUGUUCUUGGCUUUGAGAAU